AGAAUGAACGCUAGCGAUAUGCUUAACACAUGCAAGUUGAACGUUGUUUUCGAAUCAGAAUGAGAACAAAGUAGCGAACGGGUGCGUAACACGUGGGAAUCUGCCGAACAGUUUGGGCCAAAUCCCGAAUGAAUAAAAGCUAAAAAGCGCUGUUUGAUGAGCCCACGUAGUAUUAGGUAGUUGGUUAGGUAAAGCUGACCAAGCCUACGAUGCUUAGCUGGUCUUUUCGGAUGAUCAGCCACACUGGGACUGAGACACGGCCCAGACUCCUACGGGAGGCAGCAGUGGGGAAUCUUGGACAAUGGGCGAAAGCCUGAUCCGGCAAUAUGGCGUGAGUGAAGAAGGGCAACGCAGCUUGUAAAGCUCUUUCAUCGAGUGUGCGAUUGUGACAAGACUCGAAUAAGAACGCCCCGGCUAACUCCGCGCCAGCAGCCGC
rnacentral:rRNA from 1 species